rnacentral:rRNA from 1 species
UACGUAGGGUGCGAGCGUUAAUCGGAAUUACUGGGCGUAAAGCGUGCGCAGGCGGCUUUUUAAGCCAGAUGUGAAAUCCCCGGGCUUAACCUGGGAACUGCAUUUGGAACUGGAAGGCUAGAGUGCGGCAGAGGGGGGUAGAAUUCCACGUGUAGCAGUGAAAUGCGUAGAGAUGUGGAGGAACACCGAUGGCGAAGGCAGCCCCUGGGUCGACACUGACGCUCAUGCACGAAAGCGUGGGGAGCAAACAGGAUUAGAAACCCGGGUAGU